CUGCUUCAUCAAUGGCAAUGGGGGAGUUGAAAAUCUCAGAGAUGCGUGACCUAACCCGUAUAGAACGCAUAGGGGCACACUCUCAUAUCAGAGGUCUUGGCCUUGAUUCUUCACUCGAACCUCGAUUAAGCUCUGAAGGUAUGGUAGGUCAAAUUCCAGCUCGAAAAGCUGCCGGAAUCAUUGUUAAAAUGGUUCAACAAGGUAAAAUUGCGGGUCGUGCACUGCUCCUUGCGGGUCAACCCGGAACUGGGAAGACAGCUAUAGCUAUGGGUAUGGCUAAAUCGUUAGGGCAAGAAACCCCUUUUGCUAUGCUUGCUGGUAGCGAACUUUAUUCACUUGAUAUGUCGAAAACUGAAGCGUUAAUGCAGGCUUUUCGUAAAGCAAUUGGUGUGAGAAUUAAAGAAGAAGCUGAAGUUAUUGAAGGUGAAGUUGUGGAAGUACAUAUUGAUAGGCCGGCGGUAGCUGGAGCUGCGUCAAAAACAGGAAAACUGACGUUGAAGACUACUGAUAUGGAGACGGUUUAUGAUUUGGGG
rnacentral:misc_RNA from 1 species